rnacentral:lncRNA from 1 species
GCCACGAGGGAGCGUCCGCGGCCCGCGCAGAGCCGCGCACCAAGCCGAUGGCGGUGGACGCAGCAGGGCCCCGCGGUCUGAGUGCGGGCAGGCGCGCGUGGGCGUGUCUCCCUGGCCCACGCGUGUCCCCGGCAUCAGUGUCUCGGCUCUGGUCCAGGACGAAGACUUCUGAAAGCGAGCCAAGGAGAAUCACAGUUCUUAACGGAGCCCCUGACUGCCCGGUGGAAGGAGGUGAUUUAGAAGACAGUGAGACUCAGCUACUGUUCCCAUCGAGAUGCAAAGGACACAGAGCUCACGGGUGCUCCAGCAAUGCUGGUGUCAUGUUUGGAGGUAGCUGUCUAUGGACUACAGUAUUCUCCCAGUGCUAGUCUGCAGUCACUGCAAAGCACAGGAUGUUUCUUGGCUUCAAACCAUUUGGAUAAGUGAUGGCAGCAAGCUUCGCCACUGUAAAGUCACCUCUUUGUAAGAAGACAGGAGCUCUUUGUAAAGAAUAUGAGACCUGAGGCUGGGGGAUGGCUGAGAAGGGAAAAGCACCUCUGCACAAGCGUGAGAAAAGGAGUUUGUUCUUCCACAUCCAUGUAGAAAUCUUGAUGCCGUGCCGUGAACCCCAGCUCUCCUACGGGAAGAUGGGAGGCGUAGACAGGAGUUCAUCUGGAAGCUUGAGGCCAGCCACCCAGAUCCUCAGAGCUGCAGACAAAAGAGAGGCCCUGCAGCAAAAGAGUGGAAGGUGAGAACCAACUCCGGAAAGUUGCCCUCUGACCUUUACAAGUGUAUACAUCCACACACAUACAAUAAAAUCAAUUGCUCAAUCACGUA